rnacentral:rRNA from 1 species
CAGUCGCCGCGGUAAUACGAAGGGGGCUAGCGUUGCUCGGAAUGACUGGGCGUAAAGGGCGCGUAGGCGGCGAUCAAAGUCAGGCGUGAAAUUCCUGGGCUCAACCUGGGGGCUGCGCUUGAUACUUGGUUGCUUGAGUGGGGAAGAGGGUCGUGGAAUUCCCAGUGUAGAGGUGAAAUUUGUAGAUAUUGGGAAGAACACCGGUGGCGAAGGCGGCGACCUGGUCCUUGACUGACGCUGAGGCGCGAAAGCGUGGGGAGCAAACAGGAUUAGAUACCCCUGUAGUCCCUGUCUCUUAUAC